UACAGAGGGUGCGAGCGUUGUCCGGAAUCACUGGGCGUAAAGGGCGCGUAGGCGGCCUGGUAAGUCGGGGGUGAAACGCUGCGGCUCAACCGCAGCACUGCCUUCGAGACUGUCAGGCUUGAGCACGGUAGAGGCUGGUGGAAUUCCCGGUGUAGCGGUGGAAUGCGUAGAGAUCGGGAAGAACAUCGGUGGCGAAGGCGGCCAGCUGGGCCGUUGCUGACGCUGAGGCGCGACAGCGUGGGGAGCAAACAGGAUUAGAUACCCUGGUAGUCCACGCCGUAAACGAUGGGUACUAGGCGUCGGGGGGAGCGACCCCCUCGGUGCCGUCGUUAACACAGUAAGUACCCCGCCUGGGGAGUACGGUCGCAAGACUGAA
rnacentral:rRNA from 1 species